GGGGAAUUUUGGACAAUGGGCGCAAGCCUGAUCCAGCCAUGCCGCGUGAGUGAAGAAGGCCUUCGGGUUGUAAAGCUCUUUCGGCCGGGAAGAAAUCGCAUUGGUUAAUACCUGGUGUGGAUGACGGUACCGGAAUAAGAAGCACCGGCUAACUACGUGCCAGCAGCCGCGGUAAUACGUAGGGUGCGAGCGUUAAUCGGAAUUACUGGGCGUAAAGCGUGCGCAGGCGGUUUUGUAAGACAGGCGUGAAAUCCCCGGGCUCAACCCUGGGAACUGCGCUUGUGACUGCAAGGCUAGAGUACGGCAGAGGGGGGUGGAAUUCCACGUGUAGCAGUGAAAUGCGUAGAGAUGUGGAGGAACACCAAUGGCGAAGGCAGCCCCCUGGGUCGAUACUGACGCUCAUGCACGAAAGCGUGGGUAGCAAACAGGAUUAGAUACCCUGGUAGUCCACGCCCUAAACGAUGUCAACUAGGUGUUGGGAGGGUAAAACCUUUUAGUACCGGAGCUAACGCGUGAAGUUGACCGGCCUGGGGAGUACGGCCGCAAGGUUAAAACUCAAAGGAAUUGACGGGGACCCGCACAAGCGGUGGAUGAUGUGGAUUAAUUCGAUGCAACGCGAAAAACUUACCUACCCUUGACAUGUCAGGAAGUUUUGAGAGAUUGAGAUGUGCCCCGAAAGGGAAACUGAAACACAGGUGCUGCUGGUGUCGUCAGCUCGUGUCGUGAGAAUUUUGGGUUAAGUCCCGCCACGAAGCGCAACCCUUGGUGUUAAUUGCCUCAUUUAGUUGGGCCACUUAGCGAGACUUGCCGGUGAAAAACGAAGGAAAGUCGGGGAAUACCAGUCUCCUGGCUUUAUGGGUGGCUUC
rnacentral:rRNA from 1 species